rnacentral:lncRNA from 1 species
CUCAUGUCUAUCGGAGUAGAGAGCGGGAGAGAGAGAUAAUAGAAAGUGAAUCUCAUUGUAGUGAGAGAUGGGGGGGAUUAAAGAAGAGGCAACUCGAAAGAACUUUGAUCACGUUUAUUAGAAUCUUUACAUUGCAAAAAGUGACAAUUAUUUUUCAUGCCAGAAGAGGUACCGGAUCCGGACAAAACGAAACUGUUCAAGACGGAGAGGUGCCAGAUCCUGUUCCAGUAGGAUCCGGCUAAAAUUAAGUACUGGAGAGAGGGUGUACGAAUUCUGUGGAGGCAGCGUGAUACAAGGACUAUACAUUUCCUGUCUCCUAUCAGCCGGAUUUACUCCGAAAAGGGCAUCAAUGACCAUUGGACCAUAUACUUCUCCACAAUAUUGCAGGCACUAAAGGUGGACUUUUAACAAGUGCAGUGACAAUGCAGGAGCAUCUCCCAGUCCAGCACAUGGGCACCAGGAGCACAAAGUUCUCCUAGUAGUGAGGUUUGUCCUGGGCCUCAUCCGGACGACCAUGACUGAUCUCCUGGCCAACCUGAGUGUUCCAUGGGGCACACAGGUGAUUGUGAGCCCCAACCUGACAGCAGCAGCCCUGGUUGUGCCGGGGUCAGGCAAGUCUCUGGCCCCCUUCUGCACCUUCUGCUGCUGUGGCCUGCUGAACCGUACUCUGGCCGUGGUGUUUAUGGUCAGUCUGGCCUUCGCCAUAGUGGUGGGCAACGUGGUCACGCUCACCGUCUUCAUGCAGACAAGACAGGUCCGCACACCACAGGGAUACCUCAAAGCUUAGAGCCUGUACGGAGAGGCAAAGGUCGAGAGCCGUGCGUCCUCUAAAACACAACCCAACCAAGCCGCACUGCUUCUUGACACAAUGCCCACUUAACCCAGAAGCCAGCCACACCAAGGUGUCGGAGGAAACACUGUGCACCUGACAACCGCGUCAACGUGCCCGGCCCGCCACAGGAGUUGCUAGUGCGCGAUGGGACAAGGAUAUCCAUGCUGGCCAAACCCUCCCCUAACACGGACAGCGCUGGACCAAUUGUGCACCGCCUCAUGGAUCUCCCGGUCACGGCCAACUGCGACAGAGCCUGGACUCAAACCCAGAAUCUCUAGUGGCACAGCUAGCACUGCGCCACUCAGGAGCCCCCUGUGUCAAUAUUUAAACACUGUACAGAACUUUAUCAGUAUUGUAUUAUUCAUCAGAUGAUGACGUCAGAUUUAGUCAUAAAUGCAUUUGGAAACACUUCAUUUUGGGAGUUUCUAAAUGGUGUUCACUCAUGAGAGUAAUGUGUUCAGACAGUACUAAAUAUCUUUCAGGCAUCUGCUCUAAAAUUCACCGCCUCAGCAGUUACACAAGCUACACUAGAAACAAUCAUUUUCAUCUUUUUGCCCCAUCAG